rnacentral:rRNA from 1 species
AGAGCGAACGCUGGCGGCGUGCUUAACACAUGCAAGUCGAGCGGAAAGGCCCUUCGGGGUACUCGAGCGGCGAACGGGUGAGUAACACGUGAGCAACCUGCCCUUAGCUCCGGGAUAGCUCCGGGAAACCGGAAUUAAUACCGGAUACGACCACGGCCGACAUCUGCUGUGGUGGAAAGGAUUCCGGCUAAGGAUGGGCUCGCGGCCUAUCAGCUAGUUGGUGGGGUAAUGGCCCACCAAGGCGACGACGGGUA